rnacentral:rRNA from 1 species
UGGGGAAUAUUGGACAAUGGGCGCAAGCCUGAUCCAGCCAUGCCGCGUGUGUGAAGAAGGCCUUUUGGUUGUAAAGCACUUUAAGCGAGGAGGAGGCUACUUGGAUUAAUACUCUAGGAUAGUGGACGUUACUCGCAGAAUAAGCACCGGCUAACUCUGUGCCCGCAGCCGCGGUAAUACAGAGGGUGCGAGCGUUAAUCGGAUUUACUGGGCGUAAAGCGUGCGUAGGCGGCUUCUUAAGUCGGAUGUGAAAUCCCUGAGCUUAACUUAGGAAUUGCAUUCGAUACUGGGAAGCUAGAGUAUGGGAGAGGAUGGUAGAAUUCCAGGUGUAGCGGUGAAAUGCGUAGAGAUCUGGAGGAAGACCGAUGGCGAAAGCAGCCAUCUGGCCUAAUACUGACGCUGAGGUACGAAAACAUGAGGAGCAAACAGG